AGAACUUAAAUUCAGCACUAGUAUAUCAUCACAAUUACUAUCAGAGAUAAUACCAGAGACCUGUGAAGCAAUCUAUACAGUGCUCAAAAACUAUGUGAAGGUUCCUGAAACAGAAGAUGCUUGGCUACAAAUAGCAACAGAUUUUGAAAGGAAGUGGCAGUUCAGUCAUUGCUUGGGUGCCAUUGAUGGCAAGCACAUCAUCAUCGAAAAGCCACCACAGUCUGGUUCAUUAUAUUACAACUACAAAGGAACAUUCAGUGUAGUUUUACUUGGUAUCGUAAAUGCCAAUUACGAAUUUAUUUACGUGAAUGCAGGCGCAAAUGGCAGUGUUUCUGAUGGCGGAGUAUUUAAACAUACAGUUUUUUAUGAAAAAUUAGUGAAUAAUCAAUUACAUUUACCAACACCUUCUGCCUUGCCUACAUCGGAUCUUAUUGCGCCAUAUUGUUUUGUUGCAGAUAACGCAUUCGCUAUUAAUGAAAACCUUUUAAAACCCUACCCACAGAGAAAUUUGACACAUGACAAAAGAAUUUAUAACUAUAGAUUAUGCAGGGCUAGAAGAAUUGUCGAAAAUGCAUUCGGUAUUUUAGCCGAACGUUUUAGAGUAUUUAAAAAACCUAUACAAAUUAAUGUCAAAAAUGUACCAAAAGUGGUAAUGGCUUCAUGCGCAUUACACAAUUAUUUGAGGAAAAAGUCUUGCAACUACAUGACAAGGAACUGUGUCGAUUUGGAGGACACUGAAAAAUACACCUACCGGCCGGGAGAUUGGCGACAAAAUGACAACACUGUGAGUGUUAAUAGAACAGAAAGGCAACGCACUGCAGAUGGUAAUUCUGUUAGGCAAAUAUUUACAGAAUAUUUUAACAAUCAAGGGCGUGUUAAUUUUCAAGAUAGAAUGAUUAAUGUUCUGAAUAUUUAAUGCUUACCUCAAUAGAUUGAUUCUUAGUAUUUGUUUCAAAGUUGUCAACCAUUUCGGCUGUCGGGUUUGACUUUUCGUGCAGAAAACCCAAAUGUUGGUAAUACCACAAUGUCGGGACAUGCAAGUCUUCCACUCCAGCGCCACUAGUUUUGCUAGAUUCCACCUAAAAACAAAUAACAUGCCGAACAAAUAAUAUCUACUUCGUUAUAAGUACCUACACAAUAAAUAGUAAAAAUGUCA